CUUGGUGAUGAUAGAAAACCAAUAGGAAUUCCUCAUUCUUAAUAAACCAUGUGGAAUCACCGUUAUAUAAGUUUCAGCCUUGUCUGACU
rnacentral:snoRNA from 1 species